GUGCUCAGUUUGGCAGCACAUAUACUAAACUUGUAACAAUACAGAGAAGAUGGCCCCUGCACAAAGAUGACAUGCAAACUCAGGAAGUGAAGUGUUCUAUAUUUUU
ensembl:snRNA U6 U6 spliceosomal RNA